UCCUGGUGGCUCAGAUGGUAAAGAAUCUGCUUGCAAUGUAGAAGACCCAAGUUCAAUCCCUGGGCCAGGAA
rnacentral:tRNA from 1 species